rnacentral:rRNA from 1 species
CCUACGGGAGGCUGCAGUGAGGAAUAUUGGUCAAUGGACGAGAGUCUGAACCAGCCAAGUAGCGUGAAGGAUGACUGCCCUAUGGGUUGUAAACUUCUUUUAUAAAGGAAUAAAACGAGGCACGUGUGCCUUUUUGCAUGUACUUUAUGAAUAAGGAUCGGCUCACUCCGUGCAAGCAGCCGCGGUAAUACGGAGGAUCCGAGCGUUAUCCGGAUUUAUUGUGUUUAAAGGGAGCGUAGAUGGGUUGUUAAGUCAGUUGUGAAAGUUUGCGGCUUAACCGUAAAAUUGAAAUUGAUACUGGCAGUCUUGAGUACAGUUGAGGUAAGCGGAAGUCGUGGUGUAGCGGUGAAAUGCUUAGAUAUCACGAAGAACCCCGAUUGCGAAGGCAGCUUACUAAACUGUGACUGACAUUGAUGCUCGAAAGUGUGGGUAUCAAACAGGAUUAGAUACCCGAGUAGUC